rnacentral:rRNA from 1 species
AGAGUUUGAUCCUGGCUCAGAAUGAACGCUGGCGGCAUGGAUUAGGCAUGCAAGUCGAACGGUGAGGCCCCGCAAGGGGCCGAUCAGUGGCGAAAGGGUGAGUAACACGUGAGCAAUCUGCCCUCGAGAUCGGGAUAGCCCCGGGAAACUGGGAUUAAUACCGGAUGUGGUUACCGGUCGCAUGGCCGGUGUACUGAAGGCGCAAGCCGCUCGAGGAUGAGCUCGCGUCCGAUUAGCUAGUUGGCGGGGUCACGGCCCACCAAGGCUGAGAUCGGUAGGUGGUCUGAGAGGAUGGUCACCCACACUGGGACUGAGACACUGCCCAGACUCCUACGGGAGGCUGCAGCCGAGAAUCUUCCGCAAUGGGCGAAAGCCUGACGGAGCGAUGCCGCGUGAGGGAUGAAGGCCUUCGGGUUGUAAACCUCUUCGCCCGGGACGAAACCAAUGACGGUACCGGGAGAGGAAGCUACGGCUAACUACGUGCCAGCAGCCGUGGUAAUACGUAGGUAGCAAGCGUUAUUCGGAUUUACUGGGCGUAAAGGGUCCGCAGGGGGCCUGCCAAGUCUGAUGUGAAAUACCACGGCUCAACUGUGGAACGGCAUUGGAAACUGACGGGCUAGAGUGCAUGAGGGGUGAGCAGAAUUCCUGGUGUAGCGGUGGAAUGCGUAGAUAUCAGGAGGAAUACCGAUGGCGAAGGCGGCUCACUGGCAUGCAACUGACCCUCAGGGACGAAAGCGUGGGUAGCAAACAGGAUUAGAUACCCUGGUAGUCCACGCCGUAAACGGUGUACACUAGAUGUGGGUGGUCCUUUUGGUCCCAUCCGUGUCCAAGCUAACGCGUUAAGUGUACCGCCUGGGGACUACGGCCGCAAGGUUAAAACUCAAAGGAAUUGACGGGGGCCCGCACAAGCGGUGGAGUAUGUGGCUUAAUUCGAGGCAACGCGAAGAACCUUACCUGGGCUUGACAUAUACCUGACGGGGUGUGAAAGCAUCCUUUCCUUCGGGACGGGUAUACAGGUGCUGCAUGGCUGUCGUCAGCUCGUGUCGUGAGAUGUUCGGUUAAGUCCGGCGACGAGCGCAACCCGUACUGUCAGUCGCGACCAGGUGAAGCUGAGCACUCUGGCGGGACUGCCCGUGUUAAGCGGGAGGAAGGCGCGGAUGACGUCAAGUCAGUAUGGCCCUUACGUCCAGGGCUGCACACGUACUACAAUGGGCGGUACAGUGGGAAGCAAUACCGCGAGGUGGAGCAAAUCCUCAAAACCGCCCCCAGUUCAGAUUGCAGUCUGCAACUCGACUGCAUGAAGCCGGAAUCGCUAGUAAAGGCGUAUCAGCAACGACGCCUUGAAUACGUUCCCGGGCCUUGUACACACCGCCCGUCACAUCAUGGGAGCCGGUUGCACCCGACACUUCCGAUCCAACCCGCAAGGGAGGUAGGAAACUAAGGUGUGCCCGGUAACUGGGAUGAAGUCGUAACAAGGUA